AACUGUACCCGAUAAAUCAAAUUAGCAAGACCCCAAAUUCCAUAUAUAUACAGCUUCAAGAUCAACCUGUACAUCCACUUCUGUAUAGCAAAUCAAACUUGAAGCUUGUUCAAUGUAUGAUGCAAAAGAAACAAUCAAGAAGAGACUGGUAGGCAAAUUCACACCGUUUGACUGAGGAUGAUGAUGAUGCCAGAAUCUAUCUUUUCCCCUUUGGAGCUUUUAAUGUCGGUUUUGCACUUCGAGAGACGGAAGAGAGUUUAUCUUUGAAUUGGGUUCUUUGUAUUCGAUAUUCAUGAAUAAUUAUGUAUAAAAUGAAAAAACGAAAACCAUGAGUUUUAUUAUUUUCAUUUUUUACCUU